UAAAAUAGGAACCAUACAGAGAUGAGCAUGGCCCCUGUGCAAGGAUGACAUGCAAAUUUGUGAAGAAUUCCAUAUGUUU
rnacentral:snRNA from 1 species